rnacentral:rRNA from 1 species
ACGUAGGAGGCAAGCGUUAUCCGGAGUUACUGGGCGUAAAGGGCGUGCAGGCGGUUGGCUAAGUUCGUUGUGAAAGCGCCCAGGCUUAACCGGGCGAGGACAAUGAAGACUGGUCAACUAGAGGCAGGGAGAGGCGUGUGGAAUUCCGGGUGUAGUGGUGAAAUGCGUAGAGAUCCGGAGGAACACCAGUGGCGAAGGCGACACGCUGGGCCUGGCCUGACGCUCAGACGCGAAAGCAUGGGGAGCGAACGG